GCGGACGUGGCGGAAUUGGUAGACGCGCUAGAUUUAGGUUCUAGUGUCGCAAGGCGUGAGAGUUCGAGUCUCUCCGUCCGCA
rnacentral:tRNA from 1 species